CCUACGGGUGGCUGCAGUGGGGAAUAUUGGACAAUGGGGGGAACCCUGAUCCAGCCAUGCCGCGUGUGUGAAGAAGGCCCUCGGGUUGUAAAGCACUUUCAGUGAGGAAGAACGCCUGGUGGUUAAUACCCAUCAGGAAAGACAUCACUCACAGAAGAAGCACCGGCUAACUCCGUGCCAGCAGCCGCGGUAACACGGAGGGUGCGAGCGUUAAUCGGAAUUACUGGGCGUAAAGCGCGCGUAGGUGGCUUGAUAAGCCGGUUGUGAAAGCCCCGGGCUCAACCUGGGAACGGCAUCCGGAACUGUCAAGCUAGAGUGCAGGAGAGGAAGGUAGAAUUCCCGGUGUAGCGGUGAAAUGCGUAGAGAUCGGGAGGAAUACCAGUGGCGAAGGCGGCCUUCUGGACUGACACUGACACUGAGGUGCGAAAGCGUGGGUAGCAAACAGGAUUAGAUACCCCGGUAGUC
rnacentral:rRNA from 1 species